rnacentral:snRNA from 12 species
CAACUCACCUGGAAGAGGUAACACCGUGAUCAGUAAGGCGGUUUUCCUUGUCGCUGGGGAUAACCACUUUUCUGGCACAGGGCAUUACCCACAGAGGUAAUGUAUAGUUAACUUCCCGCAUUCAUUUCCAGUGGGAAGAUCUUGGCUUUACACCUACUUUAUGGAAAUGGGAGACUGCUCCCUAGCCUGCUCCUG